rnacentral:tRNA from 1 species
GUAGCUAAAUAGUUAAGUGCUCAGCUGCUAACUGAAAGGUUGGUGGUUAGAACCCACUC